ACGGGGCCGCACAAGCAGUGGAGUAUGUGGUUUAAUUCGAAGCAACGCGAAGAACCUUACCAGGGCCUGACAUCCCUUGAAGCAGCUAGAGAUAGCUGUGUCCUUCGGGACAAGGAGACAGGUGGUGCAUGGUUGUCGUCAGCUCGUGUCGUGAGAUGUUGGGUUAAGUCCCGCAACGAGCGCAACCCCUGUGGUUAGUUGCCAGCAAGUAGCGUUGGGCACUCUAGCCAGACUGCCGGUGAUAAAUCGGAGGAAGGUGGGGACGACGUCAAAUCAUCAUGCCCUUUAUGUCCUGGGCUACACACGUACUACAAUGGCCGUUACAACGGGAAGCGAAGGAGCAAUCCGGAGCCAAAAUCCCCUUAAAGGACGGUCCCAGUUCAGAUUGUGGGCUGAAACUCGCCCACAUGAAGGCGGAAUUGCUAGUAAUUGCAGAUCAGCAUGCUGCAGUGAAUACGUUCCCGGGCCUU
rnacentral:rRNA from 1 species